AGCAGCCGCGGUAAUUCCAGCUCCAAUAGCGUAUAUUAAAGUUGCUGCAGUUAAAAAGCUCGUAGUUGAAUUUCGGGACCAUCAUGUCGGUCGUGCCUCGGUACGUACUGGCAUUGUUGGUUUCUCCCUUCUGACGAACCAUGAUGUCAUUUAUUUGGUGUUGUGGGAAAUCAGGACUGUUACUUUGAAAAAAUUAGAGUGUUUAAAGCAGGCUCACGCUUGAAUACAUUAGCAUGGAAUAAUGAAAUAGGACGUUUGAUUCUAUUUUGUUGGUUUCUAGGAUCACCGUAAUGAUUAAUAGGGAUAGUUGGGGGCAUUAGUAUUCAAUUGUCAGAGGUGAAAUUCUUGGAUUUAUUGAAGACUAACUACUGCGAAAGCAUUUGCCAAGGAUGUUUUCAUUAAUCAAGAACGAAAGUUAGGGGAUCGAAGACGAUCAGAUACCGUCGUAGUCUUAACCAUAAACUAUGCCGACUAGGAAUCAGACGAUGUUAAUUUUUAAUGACUCGUUUGG
rnacentral:rRNA from 1 species